rnacentral:misc_RNA from 1 species
GUUGAUGGGGAAAAACUUCUUGAUUGUUCUUGAUGAUGUUUGGAAUGAUCGGUAUGCUGAUUGGAACAACUUACAGAUGCCUUUGAAGUUUGGGGCAACGGGAAGUAGAAUAGUUGUUACAACACGAAACAAAAGUGUAGCACUAGUCAUGGGCACUGUUUCAACUCAUCACCUGGGAGAAUUAAGUGCUAAUGACUGUUGGUCAUUGUUCAGAAAACAUGCAUUCGAUGAUGGAAAUUCUGAUGCUCGGAUGGAAAUUCUGAUGCUCGGAUAGAAAUGGAAGCAAU